CGCCGCAGCAUCGUGCAGAAGAGGGAGUCCCUGUGGAGCCACGAGCUGCGUCGGUCGCCACCACGUCGCGUCGGAGAGGAAGGCUGAGACUGAGCGCCGCUGGGAGAGAGGACGACGCGAGCUGGAGGUCCGGUCACCGCUGUGCUAUGGAGCAGACUGAA